AUUCACAUUGGGUUUUGUAUUUUCGCUGCUAUUGCGCCGCCAGUUGUCUUUCAUGGGAAGUCAUUGACGGGAAUCCUUGCAGCAAUCGAUGUCUUCAAUGACCAUGUAUUGGUUGGGAUAUUCUACUUAGUUGGCUUUGGCUUGUUUUGCUUGGAGUCGCUUCUACUUAGUUCAUGCUCAAAGGCUGCAGUAUUUGGCUUUUGCAAGUUGGUUAGGCUGUUAAGAGAAAAUUGCGGAUUUAAAGUGAAAAAUGCUAACUUUGGGAAAAAGCUACAAAUGGAAAUGGGAUUGAGCACACAGCCCUACGCUCAAGCGCAUAUGCGCUCGAGCCCAGUAAGAUCACGCUCGAGCGGACUCUCGCCUACGCCCAAGCAAGCAGCGCCCAAGUGCUGCGCCACAGGAGAAGAACUCCAUGCUCGAGUGCGAUCGAGCGCACUCGUUUGACCUGGCGCGCUUUUUUAGGUUAAAACCCUAGGCAAAGCCCUAUAAAUAGAAUAGACUUUAGAGGAAAUUGUAAGAGGCUGUAGAGUACGAAAUUUCAGAGUAGAGAGAAGAGAGUUUAGGGUCUUCCUACCUUUUGGUGUUCUCAACUUUGGAGUUUUCAAUUUGAAAAAUUCAGUUCAAUGAAUUCCAUCGAUGGUAAAUCAGAGCUUCAAAUGUUAUCAUUCCAAGCUCCCAAGAUUAGACUUCUACGAAGUUUGAGCAUUGAGACUGAAGCAAUACAGGUGUUAGAUUUUACUGUCUUUCCAGAACCAGAAUUUGAGGUACCCAUAUUUUGUGCCAACUUUUUUGCCACCACCAGCAUAAACAUAGUGGUCUUGGUCUACCUACCCAGCUCAUGCGCAGAAACUCCAAACCUCUAAUUGUAGUUAGGAAAGAUGGAUCAUCUCUCUCGUCAAGCAUAGUGAUCCCCUUGCUAUUGCUUCUAUUGUAAGAGAUCACUUCUUCCUAACUAGCAAAAGAUUUCACUUCAUUUUUUUUCCCUCUAGUUGUAUAUAUUACUGAAGAUGUCACCAAGAACAGUUGUGUUGGGUACCCUUAUCCACCAUCAGAAAUUUCGAUAAUACAGGUCUCACUGGUUGUUUGAUUAUAGUUUUAUGGUACUUCAUGCCACUAUCUAAUAAUAAACGAUUUUAUACAUUCAUCUCUAGGGCAACCUAAUGGGUAAAUUUGUACUACUCUUACAUCCUUGCCUUGAAAAGGAUUGAUGCUAAUUUGUACAAAUUUCCUUGUC